CCUCACAACCUCCCAUUGCCAAGUCUCCACCUCUACCUAAGCCUCCAAACCUUCCUGAGUCUGGAAAGACAGGGGUUCUGUCCACUAUGCCAGAACAUAUGGGCAUGGUGAUGUCCUGGGAACUGUUCCUGACCGUAUCUGAGCUACUGCUGGACCUGGCAGAAUAACUGACUAACCAGAGACUACAGCUAUGGAAGGGCUCAUCAAGGCUGCCUCUUCCAGAUGGAGAGGUGGGGCUGAGAGCACAGCAUGCGUGUGAGACAUGGUAUAUAUGAGACAAAGCACAGGGAGAGCCAGGCAGGCUGCCAGCUGCUUGCUCUACAGCCCAGUUCUGAAGCCAGAGCCCAGUUUCUUCCUCAGCAACUGUAGUCUGGGGACUCUGGGAGGAUGCAGGGUAGGGCUGGGAGAGUUCCAAGGGGCUGAACAGAGCCCAGCGUGACCAAAGCUCUGCCUUCUCUGGACAUAGGUCAAGUAGACAACAUUCCUAGGAUACUACUCAGGAAAAAAAAAGUAUGAGAUUAAAAUCAGUUACACUAAAAA